UGGGGAAUUUUGGACAAUGGGCGAAAGCCUGAUCCAGCAAUGCCGCGUGUGUGAAGAAGGCCUUCGGGCUGUAAAGCACUUUUGUCCGGAAAGAAAUCCUUGGCUCUAAUACAGUCGGGGGAUGACGGUACCGGAAGAAUAAGCACCGGCUAACUACGUGCCAGCAGCCGCGGUAAUACGUAGGGUGCAAGCGUUAAUCGGAAUUACUGGGCGUAAAGCGUGCGCAGGCGGUUUGCUAAGACCGAUGUGAAAUCCCCGGGCUCAACCUGGGAACUGCAUUGGUGACUGGCAGGCUAGAGUAUGGCAGAGGGGGGUAGAAUUCCACGUGUAGCAGUGAAAUGCGUAGAGAUGUGGAGGAAUACCGAUGGCGAAGGCAGCCCCCUGGGCCAAUACUGACGCUCAUGCACGAAAGCGUGGGGAGCAAACAGGAUUAGAUACCCUGGUAGUCCACGCCCUAAACGAUGUCAACUAGUUGUUGGGGACUUCAUUUCCUUAGUAACGUAGCUAACGCGUGAAGUUGACCGCCUGGGGAGUACGGUCGCAAGAUUAAAACUCAAA
rnacentral:rRNA from 1 species